AAGAAUACCCCUACUGCAGUGGCACUGCAUGUCGUAAGAGGCGACUAAUCAACAGCGGUUCGACUAGUAACCCAAAUUAUGUAGGACAUUUAAGGUUUACAGUUUAAAUUUUGUCUUGGUGCGAUUUCUACGUGACCUGAGUGUUGACAUUUAAAACCGCCGGAUGGAAGAGCGGGCCGAAUUCGCGGGCCUUAUCAGAAUCUUUCUUGAAAAAUACUGUAAAAAAGACUAAUAGCCUUCAAUCAUUUCCAUCAAAGAAAAAGAUGUUUGCUCGUCGUGACACUCAGAAUCUUUUCAAAUUUUUCUUUUUCCUUUUCAUUCACGUUUGGGGAAUCAAAGUUGAGCAAUUUUCAAAAUUAUCAAUGCUCACAAUUUUUUUCGUAAAACUGGGAUAAUUUGAUGCGACGCAAUUUUACUAUUCAUGGUCGCUAUUAAAGAUGGAACCAAAACUCAUUCCUAAACCGUUUGAGGUGAAAAUUAGAACGCUUGCAUUUCAAAUUAUUUCACAAAUGUUGAGGUUAAAAAAAUUUGGUGUUUGAGUGUGAUAAUCUUGAAUUUUUUUAAUGGCAACAUAGGUCUCGUCUACUUACUAAACUUCUACAGGUCAUAAAUUUGGCUAGUUAAAAUCUAAAUCGAGGUGGCCAUCUCUUUUACUAGCACUAAAUCGAUUAAGGAUUUGAAAUAUAAUCGUUACCAAUUUACAUUCAAACGCAACCUAGUUUUGUUUUGUACGUUGACAAAUCAAAUGAAGGACGACCUUUGAACUUGGUUUCCUUACAGCGAAUUUUAAUGGAAUCCGUUUCGACUGCGAAAGAGAAAUUCUUAUUUACAAUGGACAACAAAUCAGGACGUCCUUUUUGUCAUAAUUCACAUAAACAACACAAUAGUUUACGUGGACUAGCUUCUAACAAAUUGCGCUUUGGAGUCGAAUUUUGGGAUGGUGAAAUACAGACUGGCCGAACACUUUUAGGAAACUUAGGAAAUCCCGUAAGUAAACUUUUCACUAUUUGGUCCUACUGUAGCGGCACAAAUCACGAGCUCGAAUAUUGUAUAGUUUUACUAACAGUUUUCUUUGUCGCAACUUCGUUUUAAACAUGAACAUAAAUUAACUGUCUGUUUACUUUGUGGAACUGCGUCGAUACGCGGUAAAGUUUUUUUAUGGAAUCUGCCGAAUAGCGUUUUGGUACUGUCUUCUUAACUAACCGAAUUAGUGAGGAUUACGAAAUUGUUCUUUUAACUCCUAGACAGGAAUGCGGAAAUAUCCUUAGUGAGAUUUUUACGAAAAACCGUUAAUCUUGACCUUUAACAUCACGUAACUUUUUGGAUGUUGUUUUCAACCACAAAAGGAUGCUUCUUGCAAAAAUUCAGCUUUUCCCUAUUUUUAGCUCAUGUUUUAAGAAUUAAAAAAAUGUGCUAUUGUUUGCGUUUGUCUGUCCGUCCGUCUGUCCGGACCCACUUCUGCCGUUUCGAAGUACUUCUAGGGGAAUGGUUCUAGAGUCCUGGAAUUUUUUGCAGUAGGCAGCCUAUACCUUGAAGGUGUGCCAAACGGUCAUCGAAUUUCGCUGUCUAACCCCCCCCCCCACGAAUUAUUUCCUAAAAUGCUGUUUUUGAAAGUAAAACGUGCAUCACUUUUACAUACGACAACUACUUGGUCUCAGAUCAGAUUUUGUAUACCUACACAUGUCUUUAGUGGUGCCCAGUUAAACUUUUGAAAAUGGAGGGGGGGGGUAAACACAUGUUCUACCCUAAUGAAAGAUCUCAUCGAAAUAAAUUUGUUUGUACAAACUGUAACUUUCCCGUGCGACGUUGUUAGGAUAAUUCCCCUCGCUUUGCUUACUCUGCAACCCAUAGCUUUAUGACCAAUUUUAUUGAAUUUAACACUUUCCAUGGAAUUUAGUAUUCUUUUGAAAACGUUUGAAGCGCUUCGUCUUUUCUGCAAACGGUGUUUUUUUGUUGCGGCUCCUCCUCCUGACGCUUAGCAAAACGGGUUUCCUCCUUAACUAUACCGAAUGUUACUUUAUCUAAAUUCUGCAACGCUGUUAUUAAUGGCUCAUAUUUCUCAGAUAACCAGUUAGCCAGAUUAGUUACUAAGAGCGGGCAAAUAAAUCUACCGAGCGAGCGGGCGAACUAUUAAUCAUUUUCUGUGUAACGCGCAGAUACCACUAGCUGAAGAAAUUGGUUUUUAGCGCUACCCACGAAAGUGGAGCGCUUAUGUUUUGCUCGAUGACCACGAAAUGUAUAUCUUUGGUGACCUAAUUAUUUUUACCCAAAGGAUCUCGGAAUCGUUAUGUAUGCAUGAAUUUUCUUGAGAAACUCUACUACUCAAUGCCCAAGAAGUGGUCUAGGUAUGUGUAUUUUUCGCUACCAACAUAUUUUUGGGCAAGUAUGCACCAAUUUUCUUGGUAGAAAGACCAAACUCAAUUGCUCAAUGUUCGAUGCCAAGAAAUGACACAUUUAUAAGUGUGAUAUUAAGCAAUUUUCAAGAGCCGACAAAGCGGGUCCCAAAAAUUCAGCCUCCUUGUCACGUACAUAUGACAAGCAGUAAUUAUUUAUGAGAAGUAUUGGAAGUAUCUCAACAACGAAUGCUCGGAUCUUCUUAAUAGUUUUUAAUAGAUUUGUCAUCGAGUCUAGGACGACGUUGGAAACAAGUUGUCUGCCGUUAAUAUUAGUGCUUCAGAAUAAGGAUCAUUAUUACUAAAGCUAUUCUCCAACAAUGCAAGUAAGUUCUCUAAGUACAAAUGUGUGACAUUUAUCAGUGUGCUGGGGGUCAGAUCAGGGUUAUUUUGUGAUUUAUGCGUUGAUUCCUCACUUCUGCCGCUGGAUUGGUCACUAGGUGGUUUUUUGGUACCUACUAGUAUGUGCUUCAGUAUAUGCUUCGAUAAGUCCGUCAUGGCGGACGGUGUAAUCGAGUGCGUAAACGCCCCUGCUAUUUGUUCGGUCCGUAAUAAAAAUGCAACCAAAAAAAGGGUCAGGUGCAUAAAUUGUGAAAACGUUUACCAUUGAUAGCUGCGCAAAAAGCAAAUUAAAGAAUGUAUCAGUGAUUGAUGCCGAUAACAUAAAGUGUUGUGUCAGUGCAACUGGUGUCAACAUCUUGCCGAAAAAAUCUGUAAGUGAGGUAGAGUACCUAAAACCUAUUAUCAAUGACAAAAAUACAAUAAUUGGCAUAUUAAAUGACCAAAUUAAGUUACUUGAGGAGAAAUGUUUGAACAAACGUAAUAAUGCAGGUCAAUCUGUAUCUAACAAUGUCCCGAUAACGUCAAUCGCCGCUCCGGACAGCAUAACAAAAUCGCCUCCUUCGUCAGAAAAUGCCGCUGCAUCCUCGAGAAAUAAGAAAUCAACCACUGGAAAUUCACAGCAGAAGGGGACAACUGAGCGUCCAGCUCUUCCGGCCCAUCCUGCUACCUCAGAAGGCUCUGACCAAAGCGAACCGUUAACUACCUGGUCCACAGUAGUGAAAAAGUCCAAAAAACCUAGGCAACAGGACAAAAACUUCAUCUUCGGCACGAAGCAAUGUCCAACCGAUGGAAAUCCUACCAUAAGGGUUGCCCCGAAGAAAGCAUAUCUGUUUGUGUCUAGAUUGCAUACGGACACAACCAGGGAAAAUCUGCAAAAUUAUCUUAUAAAUCAAUUCCCGGAGGUCAUCUGCGAGCCAGUAAAAAACCUAUGAAACGCAUUACGCGUCUUUUAAAGUUACAAUUGACUUUCAAAAUUUAGAAAAAGCAAUGUCUGUGGAGCAAUGGCCAUAUGGAAGCAGAGUUAGUCGUUUUUUUCUUCGGCGUACGCCACCCCCAACUGUUCCAUAACACAAAAUAUACCUAUCAAAGUUUGACAAGUUUAGGCUAUCGCGUAAAUUCUGUGGAAGCCAUCAAAAAACAGGUGAAAACUGUGAACUAGUUGAUGUGUGUGAUGUAUCAAUGAACUGUCGAUCACUGUCGGAGGAUAAAGUCAAUUACAUUGCAUAUGAAUACAUAUGCGACCAAUAUCAUCUAAACUUUCUGUGUCUUACAGAAACCUGGUGCAACAACGAUAACGUCGGAAAUGUGUAUUUCCCUGGUUUCAAAAAAGCAUCACACUACUCCAGAUCAACCCAUAAAGGCGGUGGCGUGAGAAUUUGGUGCCGUGAAAAUGUCGACAUAACCCCCAUAAACCUACAUUCGUACUGCAUCGAAAAAACAUUCGAAAUAUGUGGUAUUGUCGCCCACUGGCGAUUUUAACGAAUUCUAUUUUAAACUAAAUGCUGUGUUAAAUAGUUUGUUCGAUCAAAAGAGCCACUUUAUAUUAUCAGGGGACUAACAGUAAAAAAGGGUGGGUGACCAAUGAGGUGAGAGUUUCUGCUGCUAAUUUGAAAUCCCUAUACGCGUUACAAAAAAAAAUCCCAUAUUAAACAUUCUACUUAAAGAAAAAGAAAGAACAUUUGUCUCUUGUCUCUACUACACGUAAAACUAACAUACAGCACAAAAUUCUAAGCUCAGAUAAUAUCGGCAAAAGUACGUGGUCGUUUAUUAACAACAAUAAGGUCCAAAAAGACACUCAAAACUAUAAACUAAUGGAAAAUCGCGGUACAUUGAUGAUCCCCUGGAGGUAGCCAAUCUUUUUAAUAACCAUUUCAGAAACGCUCCCCUGGACACGAUACACUCAAUAAAAAAUAACAACCCUAGCACUUUAAGCACUAAUACUAACCAGAGAACAAUGUAUCUAUACCCUUUCUGUGAACAGGAACUAAUCCAGUUAAUCAAUAACAAAAUAAAAAGCAAAAGAUCGGCAGGACCUGACGACUCUCCUUGUUUUUUGGUUCGUAUAAUCUCUCACGUAAUUGUGAGGCCCUUAACAUAUUUAAUUAAUUUAUCCUUUUUAACUGGCGCGUUUCCAGAAGCCCUUAAACUGGCAAAAAUUAUCCCAGUUCACAAAAAGGGGAAUAAAUACACUCCAAACAAUUUUAGACCUAUCUCUAUAACAUCCGUCUUCUCAAAAAUUUUUGAGUAUUGCUUUUUGGAUAGACUAGAAAGAUUUAUUGAAAAAUGUAAAAUAUUAAUACCUAACCAGUUUGGCUUUAGACCUAAUAAAUCCACAACUGAUGCAAUUCUUUUCUUCUACGAUACAGUGCUUCAGUCGAUAGGGAAAAAAGAACUGCCUAUUGGGAUAUACUGCGAUAUCACUAAAGCAUUUGACUGUGCCAACCAUAAUCUAUUGUUACAGAAAUUGUCUCGCUAGGGCGUCAGAGGCACUACCCUGAAUUGGAUAGAAAAGUUUCUAAAAAAUCGAACGCAGUAUGUCUCAUUGCGACAUAGUAAUAAGGGAUACACCACUAACGUUAAUUCAGACAUCAUAAAGCUAAACGUGGGUACACCCCAAGGGAGCAUUUUAGCACCGAUCCUCUUUGCACUAUUUACAAACGAUGUUCUGAGCUGCAUCCCGGUUGAUGCAACUCUUUCACUAUAUGCGGACGACACGGCCGUGGUUGUUUCACACCCGGAUGAAAAUAAAUCACGAGCAACAUGUAUAUUAACAAUUGAAAAUUUAUCUAGAUGGUUUGAGAAUAAUCUAUUAUUCUUAAAUCAUAGCAAAACGAAAUUUUUGCAAUUUCACAAUUAUCAAAAUACUAAUACUCUCGACAUUAAUAUUUCUGUUAAUGAUGCUAAUUUAGAAAAAUCAACGACAGUAAAGUUUCUGGGCGUCGUACUCGAUGACACUCUAAGCUGGAUAUCCCACAACGAAAACUUAAUUAAACAAUUAAAUACUGAAUGUUAUCGAGUACGCUACCUUAGGUACUAUCUAGAUGUGAAACAGCUUCGGAUGUUCUACUUUGCCUGCAUUGAAUCGCGGCUCAGGUAUGGUUUGUGCCUU